GGACAAUCUUAAUGCUGCUGAUGCUUUACUACCUUCUUCGGCUAUGAGUAGGGUAGUGCACAGAUGACAGAAAUUCUGAGUCUAACAUGUAUAGAUGAACGAUGGAGCAUUUGAGUGUUAAAUUGAAAGAUAUAAAAGCCGAUUGAGCAACUGCACAAAAAAAAAGAUGCCAGGAGAGCGGAAGCUGAACGCUUCAGGUAAAGAUUGGAGUCGCUACACGUCCCACAGUUGGUGAAUUCUAGUUACAGCGGGUUAAUGCGGGGUAACUUUAUUAUUUGAGGUUUAAAUUUUCCAAAAAAAAUUCUCAAAAGCUGUUCAAAAUAUAACUAAUAUAAUCCCCAAAUUUAAUUGAA